CUUCUUCAUAAUCCUUCUCCAGAGCAGCCAGGUCCUCCCUGGCCUCAGAAAAUUCUCCUUCUUCCAUUCCCUCUCCAACAUACCAAUGCACAAAGGCUCGCUUGGCGUACAUGAGGUCAAACUUGUGGUCCAGGCGGGCCCAGGCCUCCGCAAUUGCUGUGGUGUUGCUCAGCAUGCAAACAGCCCGCUGGACUUUGGCCAGGUCCCCUCCUGGUACCACCGUGGGUGGCUGAUAGUUGAUGCCCACCUGAGGAACAGAGAAAGAAGAGGGACAACAAAAGAAAAUGCAGAGCAGCCAAAGGACAACUCAAAAUGGGGUUAUCUUGGUAAUAUGAUGUGGUAGCACGACACAGUCAUGGGUGUGGGGAUGGGAGCAGGCCUGGAUAUGAAAAGAUAGAAUCAAAGGGCUGAAGAAACAGAGAGAGGUGAGUGUUGAAGAUAAAUCAAAAGUGAGUGGAAUUGAGUACAGGCAAAUUCAAGAGGAAGGGCUAUGAAAUCUAAAACUGCAAAAGACUAGCUGGAAUUUAAAUAAAAACUUAGAAAAAAAUAAAGACUAUGAAAGAAGAGGAGAAUAGGGAUGGUAUUAGGUAGAAAUGUAGUGGGGAGAUUCAAGGAGACAAAUGAGGGUAACAAAUGAGAUCAAUAUUAACGGGGGUGUACAAUACAUGGUUAUCUUGAAAAGGAAAAUAGAUCCCCUUUUAGAGGCAAAUUAAUUUCUAGGCUUGAAGUUUAUUCUUUUCCACGUGGUCAUCUAAAGUUUUCAAUAAAUUUAGGGAAAUUUCUCUGCCAAGGGUAAAGUGCUGUUUAAAAGAUCAUGGAAGUGAGAUGCCUGGGUGGCUCAUGUCCGACUCUUGAUUUGGCUUGGGUCAUGAUCCCAGUUGUGGGAUUGAGACCCACAAUGGGCUCCACGCUGAACCUGCUUGAAAUUCUCUCACUCUCUCCCUCUUUCCCUCUAGCCCUCUCCCCCGUUCACACUGUCUUUCUCUCUCUCUAAAAUAAUAAAUAAAUAAAUAAAAAUUAAAAGAUCAUAGAGAUAUUCCAGAGCAAUAAAUUUAAAAAUUCAAAAGGUCUUGGGGAUUAAUGUUAGCCAGUCCCCAUGUCUCAGGGGAGUAGGCUUGUUAGAAGAAAAGCAAGGCCUUCAAUCAAAGAAAGUUCAUUAAAACCCUUGCCUGGACAAGCCUACUUCCCAAGAUCUGGUAGCAUGGCAAGGUUCUCCAAGCUAACCCUAGCCCAAUCUAAUGUUAGGGGUACUAUCUGAGAAAUCUCCCUUCUCCCCACACACAUACCCCAAACCAAAGUCAAUCUCAGGAACUGUAAGCAACUGGAAGAAGUCUGAGGGAACAAACUGUGAUAAUAUCCAUAGGACACUGAGAACAUAGUACACCCAAAAAAUAGCUCUCCUACCCAGGUCAUCAUGCCUUAAGUGUCAGCCUCUUAAAUUCAUAGCUUUAAAAUAUAUGUCUUCUUCAGAGAUGUAGGUGGGAAUUGCAGCAGUCUAUAUAGCCAAGGUGGGUAGCCCAUUAAAUGAAUUUAGAAUUAUCUAUUAUUCCUCUUAGACAAAAGUAGCUCUUGGUGGUGGAGGUGAUGCUAAGAUAGGGCAAAGGACCAAAAAUGAGAAAGGGAAGGGCAAUGAAUAUAAACUUCACUGCAUCAUAUAUUUUGCUCAAUCUGACCCUGACUAGAAAAAAACUUUGUGUCUGAAGCCAACUCUCCUCUCUCAAACAGUAAUUAUUCCUUCAACUGAUUCAAGUAGGGACAAACACCCUUGGGAAGAAUGCAAGAGGAUGAAAUUCAACAAUCAUAUGCUUUUCUGAAAAGCAGCUAAAGAUGCUGCACUACCUAUCUUUCUGGACAUAAUCCCCAAACUUCAGCUUAAAAUAAGAGAUAGAAAGAGGGGCAUCUCCUUUUUGUUAACUUCCCCACCACCCUCACAUCUCAUUUUUUUCUUUUUUCCUAUUCAUUUUCCUACUAGCUUGUUUUAUUGUUUGUUUACAUUUAAAUUUUUUAAAAAGAACUCCAUAUUUUGGAAGAUCUUGAUUGUUUUCACAGAAUGACCAGAAAUGACCCAUAAAAAUAGGUGUAGUCUUGGGGUGCGUGGGUGGCUCAGUCAGUUAAGUAUCUGACUCUUGAUUUUGGCUCAGGUCAUGAUCCGAGAUCAAGCUGCACUGACAGCACAGAGCCUGUUUGGUAUUCUCUUUCCUUCUUUCUCUGCCCCUUCCUGACACUCACAUGAAUGCACACUCUUUCUCUCUCAAAAUACAUAAACAUUUUUUUUUAAUGUAAGCAACAUUAUUUUUAAAAAUGGGUGUAGUCUAGAGGAAAGAUUGUGUAUGUAGCUAGGAGUAUAGCAGUGAGGAAGAAUGCUACCAAAGGAGAUUAGCUAGAUCAAAGCCUCAUAAUGCAAACAGGUCAGUCAAGAGACUGGCAAAUGGUGCCUUGUUUUUGUAAGUCCCACCAGGAAAACACAGAAUGCUCAUCUCUGUAUCUCUACCAACUGGUACAUCAACCCCUGGUGCUGAGUAAACCUCUGAAUUAUUAAAGGCAUGACUGGGAGGUUACUAAUUAAUAUUAAUGUAAAUGAUGAUAAUUAUUUUGAUAGCAGAAUCUGAUUAAAGACCAUAGGAACACAGGACAAAGUGGUCAAGCAGUUCACAUGCACAAAACCAGCUGCAUGUCUUGCCAGUGCAACUCAAAGAAGUGCCUUCUAACAUUCAACAUUCACUAGUCCUGAGAUCCAUGGGUCUUCCCUGGCUGUUGUAUCUCCUUACUAACCCUCAGAGUCUGGCAUUUUCCAUACUGUGGACACCUGAUCUACAACAGGCUUCCUCAGCUUCUGCUUACUUCUAGUUAAUGGGAAAUGUCAGGGCUUCACAAAAUAAGUGAUUCACAAUCCUAUAAUAACCAUAAAAUUUCUUCCUCACUGAGUUAAGACUUACAGGGUGAACACUUAAUUUUUCAAGAUAAAUUGGGAGAGAAACACAUCUUUUAUUAAAGGAUGGGAUUAUAUCUCUCUGAUAAUUUGAAUAAUUUGGUUAAUUCCAUUCUCUGAUCUAUUAUCAGAUUUCAUCUACCUCCACCCAUUCAUCCUGUUCAUCGCACUUGCCCACAUGUGUUCUUUCUACCCUGUACACUCCUCCCUAUUAUAGAAAAGCUCUUUUCUUCCUGACCUUUGAGAUGCUUAUAGAUGUUAGGGUAAGAGCAGUAGGAGACUUCUCCCUACUGUAGUAGUACCCCUCUGAAUACUGCAAUUGUCCUCCGCUCUCUUUUCUUUUUUUUUUCUCUCUCUCUUUUCAUAAUUCUUUCAAAUAAAGUUUCUCCUUACCUAAAAUGUAUGAAUGAAUGAAUGAAUGAAUGAAUGAAUGAAAUUAAUGCUAUCUUUGUCUUAAGCCCCUCUUCCCAUAUCAUCCCAUGAAAUCUGAAGAUCCCAUGGAAUUGUAUGCCUAAGACCCUGGAAUUUAUACAUCCUCCUUUCCCAUCCUUGGUAAUCUUCUGCUUCUCUAAUUGUCUACCUCCUCCCUAAGUCAUCAGCUCUCACCUUGAAGCCUGUGGGACACCAGUCUACAAACUGGAUAGUCCUCUUGGUCUUGAUGGCAGCAAUAGCGACAUUCACAUCCUUAGGCACGACGUCCCCCCGAUAGAGCAUGCAGCAGGCCAUGUACUUGCCAUGUCUUGGGUCACACUUCACCAUCUGGCUGUUGGGUUCAAAGCAGGAGCUCGUUAUCUCAGCCACAGAGAGUUGUUCAUGAUAGGCUUUCUCGGCAGAUAUGAUGGGUGCAUAAGUGACCAGUGGGAAGUGGAUACGGGGGUAGGGCACCAGGUUGGUCUGGAACUCAGUGAGGUCCACAUUGAGGGCCCCAUCAAAGCGGAGAGAGGCAGUGAUGGAGGACACAAUCUGGCUGAUGAGGCGGUUGAGGUUGGUAUAGGUAGGGCGCUCAAUGUCUAGGUUUCUGCGGCAGAUGUCAUAGAUGGCUUCAUUAUCCACCAUGAAAGCACAAUCUGAAUGUUCCAGUGUGGUAUGGGUUGUCAGAAUGGAGUUGUAGGGCUCCACAACUGCAGUGGAGACCUGAGGGGCUGGGUAGAUAGCAAAUUCUAGCUUGGAUUUCUUGCCAUAAUCCAGGGAGAGGCGUUCCAUCAGCAAAGAAGUGAAGCCAGAGCCAGUGCCCCCACC
rnacentral:lncRNA from 1 species